CCGUGUUUCAAGACGGGUCGAAUGGGGAGCCCACAGGCCAGCGUCCGGAGCGCGCAGAUGCCGAAGCACGCCGGAGGCGCGCGCUGCCUUCCACAAUCGGGGAGACGGCGUUCCACGGGCGUAUCGAGAGCCCGGGCUUUGGCCGCCCCCCCAAUCCACGCUGGUCCACGCCCCGAGUCGAUCGGCGGACCGGCUCGUCGCCGUUCCACAUCCGACCGGG
rnacentral:misc_RNA from 1 species